rnacentral:rRNA from 1 species
UACGGAGGGGGCUAGCGUUGUUCGGAAUACUGGGCGUAAAGCGUGCGCAGGCGGCUUCUCAAGUCAGGGGUGAAAGCCCAGAGCUCAACUCUGGAAUUGCCUUUGAGACUGAGUGGCUUGAGUACGAGAGAGGUGAGUGGAAUUCCCAGUGUAGAGGUGAAAUUCGUAGAUAUUGGGAAGAACACCGGUGGCGAAGGCGGCUCACUGGCUCGUAACUGACGCUCAUGCACGACAGCCGUGGGGAUCAAACAGG